UCCCUGGUGGCUCAGAGGUUAAAGCAUCUGCCUGCAAUGCAGGAGAUGCCGGUUCGACCCCUGAGCUGGGAA
rnacentral:tRNA from 1 species